rnacentral:rRNA from 1 species
UCAGUCGACUCCUACGGGGAGGCAGCAGUGGGGAAUAUGCACAAUGGGGGAAACCCUGAUGCAGCCAUGCCGCGUGUGUGAAGAAGGCCUUCGGGUUGUAAAGCACUUUCAGUAGGGAGGAAGGUAGUGUAGUUAACAUCUGCAUUAUUUGACGUUACCUACAGAAGAAGCACCGGCUAACUCCGUGCCAGCAGCCGCGGUAAUACGGAGGGUGCGAGCGUUAAUCGGAAUUACUGGGCGUAAAGCGCAUGCAGGCGGCCUGUUAAGUCAGAUGUGAAAGCCCGGGGCUUAACCUCGGAAUUGCAUUUGAAACUGGCAGGCUAGAGUCUUGUAGAGGGGGGUAGGAAUUUCAGGUGUAGCGGUGAAAUGCGUAGAGAUCUGAAGGAAUACCAGUGGCGAAGGCGGCCCCCUGGACAAAGACUGACGCUCAGAUGCGAAAGCGUGGGGAGCAAACAGGAUUAGAUACCCUGGUAG